rnacentral:rRNA from 1 species
AGCAGCAAACAGGAUUAGAUACCCUGGUAGUCCACGCCGUAAACGAUGUGUGCUAGUCAUUGGGCAGCUUGCUGUUCGGUUGCGCGACUAACGGAUAAGCACACCGCCUGGGGAGUACGGUCGCAAGAUUAAAACUCAAAGGAAUUGACGGGGGCCCGCACAAGCGGUGGAGCAUUUGGUUUAAUUCGAAGCAACGCGCAGAACCUUACCAAUCCUUGACAUGGGAAGUAUGCGCCUGGGAGACCGGGUCCUUCAGUUCGGCUGGCUUCCACACAGGUGCGGCAUGGCUCUCGCUCAGCUCGUGUCGUGAGAUGUUGGGUUAAGCCCCGCAACGAGCGCAACCCUCCUCUUCAGUUGCCAUCAUUGAGUUGGGCACUCUGGAGAUACUGCCGGUGACAAGCCGGAGGAAGGCGGGGAUGACGUCAAGUCCUCAUGGCCCUUACGGGUUGGGCUACACACGUGCUACAAUGGCGGUGACAGUGGGCAGCGAAGGGGCGACCUGGAGCUAAUCCCCAAAAGCCGUCUCAGUUCGGAUUGCACUCUGCAACUCGGGUGCAUGAAGUUGGAAUUGCUAGUAAUCGCGGAUCAGCACGCCGCGGUGAAUACGUUCCCGGGCCUUGUACACACCGCCCGUCACACCA